UCUUUUGGAGUCUAUCAUGAAUCAAACAGACAUCCUUACCUGUUAUCCAACCAAGCAAGCAACUUUAGGAGGUACAUUGAUCCUACAGAUCAUUUUCCAAGGGCUACUCUAAUCCCAGCAGGUAGUUUGUUUUUGUAAGUUAAUGUAUAGCUUUUAACAGAGAACUCUCAUUCUUGCUUAUCAAAUAACUUAAUCCUUUCUUCCUGAGUCUAUAGAAAC
rnacentral:lncRNA from 1 species